CUGAAAAUUGUCAACUAAAUGUGUUUGAUUGAUUUUAUUUUCAACGUAGAAAAUGUUAUAUUUGUUUAUUCAUUAUUGGUAGGCAGAUUAGAGAAUGAGAGUAGAUGAGAGAGAAAGAGAAAAGUGAAUUAUCUAGAAAAUAAAAACAUACUCUCCUAGAAAUGAUGGCCUAGCAGAAAAUCUUGAACUGAACAAGUGACGAACGAUGGAAGCUUAGAAAUGAUGAACGGACAUGUUGCCAAAACCUCAUUGAUUCCAAACGAAUAUCGAUCUAGUUUCUAUUGAUUUAUUACAAUACUAGAUGACUACGCAUCACGGACACCGUAGUUUCAUGAUAAAACAGAAGAAAGAUGGGGAACGGGGGACAAGAACAUGACCUGCUAAUCAAAUUGGACAAAAAUAUUAUUUCAUUUACAAGUAUCUCCAAAUAGGCCUUAGUACCUCCAGCAGCUGCAGAAAUGUUUGCUGUUGGUUCCUGGCCCAUCCAUAUCAAUCAUAAGUGUCAGAGCGAAUGCGCCUCUACUUAUUUUUGGACACUGGAAUGCAAUUAUAGUUUAAUAACAAGUUAGGGUAAAGGCCAAACUGUUUGCGUUUGGUAUGAUGAACUGAACAUGAAGUUAGACAAAAAACUUGACCUUUUUUCUUCUUCAUCAUGUCCCAAUUCGCCGAUGCCUCUAUAUUGCAUUGUGGUUUAUUUUGAUUCCAGUAUGUAUCAUGGGAUAAUGACUGUCAGUGAAGAACUAUAUGAUUAUACUAACCGCCUAAGCCUUUUGACGAAGGAAACACGGUUUAGUGAUCAAUGGAAAUGGAGAUCCCUCAGCCAUACAUCUCAAUUGAUAUAGAGAUAUGGAUUAAUAAUACAAAUGUUUACUACUUAAUGUUACUGCAUCAAGAGCCAUUCCAUUCAAAUAAUUAGAAGAUUAAGGUAAAAGAAAUUGUCAAGUUUCAAUGAAGACCUUACCAACUGGAUUGUGACUGCUGCACCUUACUUUAUACUAUAUUCACGUGUUAAUUUCACCAAAGCUUUGUCGAAAUAUCUGAUCAGGAUUUAGCCCACUCGAUCCAUGUUUAUCUUCUAUCCAUGUUGAUCCAUCAGUGAAGUAGAUCUAGCAUCCAAUCACAUCUUUGACAAGGGAUGGACUCCCUCCCCCCGGGAGGAGUUUUCCGAGCUAUAGGUUCUCAAUGAAGCGAAAGGAGUAGGGAAAAAUGAUUCAUAAAUUUGAUUUAGACACAAUGAACUAUAGCCAUUGUUAAAAAAUUUACCUGCAGCAAAUAAAGCUAGCUUUGGGAAACGAAGUCACCAGCAAGCGCAGUAAGGAACUAGGGAUGCUAAGGUCGAGUGUUCAAGAUGGGGAAGACAGGCACGUGAAAGACUAACUCCUUUAGCGAGCUUCAUAGACAAGCAGUACAUGAGUUAGUAAUCCACGUACCCUGCUUCUCCAUCUUGCUUAACACUCACCUUCUGAAGCCAGAAUUUCUCGAGACCUCUCGCACGUUCGUGACAAUGUCAGAGCCACGAUCCGACCUAAACCUAGGCGAUGUAAAGCCGAGGCCAAUCUGAUGCAGUUCUCUGCUUUUAUAAGGCUCAAAACGGGGUAGUAUGUCCUAUAAUGCCCAUUUUCAAGCUACUGCAUAUACAAACCAUGAAAAGACAAUUUGCCAUUUCAACUUUACCCCUGGCAUCUUUACAUAGACGAUGUUUUAAAGAAUCUAUAUAUCUUCCGGGUACAUUAGUGACAGAGAUUGAAAAUUUAGUUGAUAGUGGGACUCUCCAAAGUUUUUACAAAAAAAU
rnacentral:lncRNA from 1 species